rnacentral:rRNA from 1 species
UACGUAGGUGGCGAGCGUUAUCCGGAAUUAUUAGGCGUAAAGAGCGCGCAGGUGGUUGAUUAAGUCUGAUGUGAAAGCCCACGGCUUAACCGUGGAGGGUCAUUGGAAACUGGUCGACUUGAGUGCAGAAGAGGGAAGUGGAAUUCCAUGUGUAGCGGUGAAAUGCGUAGAGAUAUGGAGGAACACCAGUGGUGAAGGCGGCUUCCUGGUCUGUAACUGAGACUGAGGCGCGAAAGCGUGGGGAGCAAACAGGAUUAGAUA